rnacentral:lncRNA from 1 species
CAGGAGGUGGGAUGUUCGGGCUUCCAACCAUAGACGCAGGUCCAGGAGGUGGGGGAUAUAGGCUUCCAACCCCAGAAGCAGGUCCAGGAGGAGCAUUCAGGCUUCCAACCCCAGACACUGGUCCAGGAGAUGGGACGUUCGGGCUUCCAACCGUAGACGUAGGUCCAGGAGGUGGGGGAUAUAGACUUCCAACCCCAGAAGCAGGUUCAGGAGGAGGGGGAUAUAGGUUUCCAACCCCAGACACUGGUCCAAGAGGUGGGGGAUAUAGGCUUCCAACCCCAGAAGCAGGUCCACGAGGAGGGGGAUAUAGGUUUCCAACCCCAGACACUGGUCUAGGAGGUGGGACAUUUGGGCUUCCAACCCUAGACGCAGGUCCAGGAGGUGGGACAUUUGGGCUUCCAACCCUAGACGCAGGUCCAGGAGGUGGGACAUUUGGGCUUCCAACCCUAGACGCAGGUCCAGGAGGUGGGACAUUUGGGCUUCCAACCCUAGACGCAGGUCCAGGAGGUGGGGCAUUUGGGCUUCCAACCCCAGAUGCAGGUGUAGAAGGUGGGGGGUUCAAACUUGCAACCCCAGACGUAGUUACAGGAGGUGGGGCAUUCAA